rnacentral:rRNA from 1 species
GAUGAACGCUGGCGGCGUGCCUAAUACAUGCAAGUCGAGCGAACGGACGAGAAGCUUUCUUCUCUGAUGUUAGCGGCGGACGGGUGAGUAACACGUGGAUAACCUACCUAUAAGACUGGGAUAACUUCGGGAAACCGGAGCUAAUACCGGAUGAUAUUUUGAACCGCAUGGUUCAAAAGUGAAAGACGGUUUUGCUGUCACUUAUAGAUGGAUCCGCGCUGCAUUAGCUAGUUGGUAAGGUAACGGCUUACCAAGGCAACGAUGCAUAGCCGACCUGAGAGGGUGAUCAGCCACACUGGAACUGAGACACGGUCCAGACUCCUACGGGAGGCAGCAGUAGGGAAUCUUCGGCAAUGGGCGAAAGCCUGACGGAGCAACGCCGCGUGAGUGAUGAAGGUCUUCGGAUCGUAAAACUCUGUUAUUAGGGAAGAACAUAUGUGUAAGUAACUGUGCACAUCUUGACGGUACCUAAUCAGAAAGCAACGGCUAACUACGUG